GUACAUACAUAUUUCUUUGAAGAUUGACAUUCAACCGAGGAUUUAUUUAUACCAGAGGAUUUAUUUAUACCACAACUAGAAGCCAUUUAAACUCCAUAUAAACAGAACAGUGUGUUCAGAUUUUCCAUUUUCUGAUUAUUAUUUUUUUUUGCUCCUCUUAAAAGCAUUUUCCCCAUCAUAUUGGAAGAUUGACAGCCAUCCUGCAAUUAUCUAGAACGAAG